CAAGAACUUGAUCGGGCUCGGCCCGAUCCUCCCACCCUUUGUGUACCUACCUCUGUUGCUUUGGCGGGCCGCGGUCCUCCGCGGCCGCCCCCCUCCCCGGGGGGGUGGCCAGCGCCCGCCAGAGGACCAUCAAACUCCAGUCAGUAAACGAUGCAGUCUGAAAAACAUUUAAUAAACUAAAACUUUCAACAACGGAUCUCUUGGUUCUGGCAUCGAUGAAGAACGCAGCGAAAUGCGAUAAGUAAUGUGAAUUGCAGAAUUCAGUGAAUCAUCGAAUCUUUGAACGCACAUUGCGCCCUUUGGUAUUCCGAAGGGCAUGCCUGUUCGAGCGUCAUUACAACCCUCAAGCUCUGCUUGGUAUUGGGCACCGUCCUUUGCGGGCGCGCCUCAAAGACCUCGGCGGUGGCGUCUUGCCUCAAGCGUAGUAGAACAUACAUCUCGCUUCGGAGCGCAGGGCGUCGCCCGCCGGACGAACCUUCUGAACUUUUCUCAAGGUUGACCUCGGAUCAGGUAGGGAUACCCGCUGAACUUAAGCAUAUCAAA
rnacentral:rRNA from 1 species